UGCAACGGGAGAUGUCAUGCCAAGGUCAUGUCUUAAACUUCUGUAGCAUCCAGCAAAAGCCACAUUCUGGAUUACUGGGUUUCUGGACCUUGUCCAUCGCCUGAUGUCAUAAAACACACAACAUUUCGGGAACUGGAUCUGCCCUCGUCUUCAGAUGCUGAUGGACAACUUGGCGCACAGUAUACCGCUACUCACCACCACACAUGUAUAUAACUAACGCAGUGUAGGUACAUUGCAAGGUGAUUCCAUUUCUUCCCCUGUUCACUCAGAUCCCGAACUCAGCCGAACGCCGUCCUAGCUCGGCUCAGAUGGUCGGAGCUCUGCGCGAGGCAAGUGGGUCAGUCGAGACUGGAUUCAGUCAGAGAAGGAAACCAGAUGAAUUAAAUUAACCAUGUUCCUCUGGUGUAACAGCUACAUUAAAAUUUUCUUAUUGAAUUCAACCUCUGAGGAAGUGUGGGAAAUCGGUUACUGGUGUCGAAUCACGAAGACACCCGAAGAUUGCAAGUUCAGAAAUAAUCUUUCACAAAUUGUGUAAUUUGAAAUAUAUCAGGUUUAGGAUUUCCGACCUGUAAAUAGUAAUAUUGAUUCUCGUGGUCAAAAGACGUCUGCGAUAUUUGACAACUCAGAUACGUUGAUUUGCUUGUGAUUCGGUCUAGAUAUUUGUUCACGUUCUUCUGUGUUGUCCUUUGUAGAUAAAUAUUUUAAACGGAUUCAUCUCCAGUUUAAGAUUUUCAUAACGAAAUCGAGUUGUAUAAUUAAUUUUAUCGAUUAUUUACACUCAGCUGUAUAUCGUAUUACAUGCUAACAGCUGAACAUUCUUGCAGAAAUUAAUCAAUUAUAGUUAUUUUACAUAUCUGCUUAAUUUACAUCUCAUUAUUUCGUUUCGGGGCUAGAUUAUCGUAAAUAUAAAUAAAAUGUAAAUGUUUGCAGCUGUGAAGGAAGUGACCAAGACCUAUUAUACAAGUCUGUGAUUUCUUAGCUUUAAAAUUUGCAAUUUAAAAAGCCAACACGCCAUUAAGUCUAUCAAUUUAUGAGGGCUAUUCAGUUAGAUGCGACAACAGCAUAGGAUGUAAACUGGACCAAGGUAAUACAUUGCAGCGAUGUAAUCACACCUGAUCAUUCUGUGAAUUGAAAAUAAAACAUACGAAAGAUGA